CCCUUAGAUGUUCUGGGCUGCACGCGCGCUACACUGAAGCGUUCAACGAGUAUUCACCUUGCCCGGGAGGGUUGGGUAAUCUUUUCAAAACGCUUCGUGAUGGGGAUAGAUUAUUGCAAUUAUUAAUCUUCAACGAGGAAUUCCUAGUAAGCGCGAGUCAUCAGCUCGUGCUGAUUACGUCCCUGCCCUUUGUACACACCGCCCGUCGCUGCCCGGAACUGAGCCGUUUCGAGAAGACUGAGGAUUGCUGACUUGAGGCCUUCACGGGCUUCUAGUCGGUGAAAAUCAAUUUAAUCGCAGCGGCUUGAACCGGGCAAAAGUCGUAACA
rnacentral:rRNA from 1 species